CUCUCUUUUUCUCUCGCGAUUGCGAGAAAACAAAGAAUUUUGUGUGGAAUCCUCUGGGUGUGGAGGAAGAGGAGAUUGCUGUCAGCUCUGAUUGCAUGUAGGAGAGGCGAUUCGAUUAUCAUCAUCUCCACAUUCCGAGGCUCGUCAUGAUGAAACCCUAACAAUUCGGUGGUCACCAUCUGCGAAUUCAGUGAACCAAAUCCACAACAACUUUCAGAUUUUUUCAAGGAUUCGUGUGUGAGGUUGCUGAAAUCAUAAGCACCCGAAGAAGGCAAAUCGAUUAUGGCAAAGGAAGAAAGGUCCCGUCGUCUCUCUCGUGUCAACCUGAUUUGUUCCACAGUGGUGCAAUGAUGGGUCUUAUGUUACACACUAAAGCAAAAAGUUUAAUAGAAAUGGAAAUGUAUUCCGAUGCAGUUGAAGUGCUUGCUAUGGCAGAGGUUAGUUGCUGGGAAUCAGUUUUUUUGUUCUAUCAAUAAUGUGUACUAAUUUUUGUUGCAGUCGACAGGAGAAAGAAGCAGAGAAUGGGGGUGAUGGUUCGAGGAGAGGGCUUUGGUUCCCUGCAAAGUCUCCACGAACAGAGCUCUUGCACCGUUUGUGCGAUGGCUUUCACAAGGCAUGCAUAGAGCAGCAGUACCACCACCUCGACCUCAUAGACCUGCUGCGACAGCUGAUAAUGAUCCCGCAGCUGCUAUGCCAAUAAAUGAAGAUGCAGUUCCAGAGGGACAAGAGAAUCAAGCUGAUAACGGGAAACGAGCAAAUGAAAAUGAAGAUGAAGAUGAAGAUGUCGAUGCAGAGAACUAAGUGAAUCAAUGGUGGAAAAUAGUGAAAGAGAUUCAAAUGAUAGUUUUUGGCUUCAUAAUUUGCACUUCUAUUGUAAUAUGUAUUAAUAUUUGUAUUAUGUUUUGUAUGUUUGAAAAUUAAUUA